rnacentral:rRNA from 1 species
GCGGUGGAGCACGUGGUUUAAUUCGAUGCAAACCGAAGAACCUUACCUGGGUUUGACAUGUACGUGUUACUGAUCUGAGAGGAGAGGGACCCAUGCUUCGGUAUGGGAGCGUACACAGGUGCUGCAUGGCUGUCGUCAGCUCGUGUCGUGAGAUGUUGGGUUAAGUCCCGCAACGAGCGCAACCCUGCAUCCAGUUGCCAUCGGGCGAGCCGGGCACUCUGGAGGGACUGCCGGCGACAAGCCGGAGGAAGGUGGGGACGACGUCAAGUCAUCAUGGCCCUUAUGUCCAGGGCGACACACGUGCUACAAUGGCCGGCACAGCGGGAAGCGGAGGGGCGACCCUGAGCGGAUCCCUUGAAAGCCGGUCCCAGUUCGGAUUGCAGUCUGCAACUCGACUGCAUGAAGUUGGAAUCGCUAGUAAUCGCGGAUCAGCCAAGCCGCGGUGAAUACGUUCCCGGGCCUU